GAAGGGGGUGCUGAGGGGUGCUGGAGAGGGUGGGGAAGACCUAGCGUGUGGGCGCACGGGGCUGGGGCGGCUGAGCGGGGCCGCGGGGUAGCGGUAGCGGCUGGAGGGACAACGGCCUCGGGAAGGGCUCGGUUGCGGAGCGGCAGGGUCGGCGCAAGCGGCGACGAGGGGCGCCAGGGCCGCUCGUGUGGGUGCGGGCUGCUGACGGCGGAGGCCGGGUGUCGAAGAAGCGGCAGGAGCGCGGCACGGACGUCGUGGUGGCUGGCGGCGGCAGCAGCGGUCUUGGAGGGGCUGGAGGAGGAGUGCCCAGCGGCGGGAACGACGGGCGAUUGCCGAUGAUGCUCUGGCUGCGGCGUCGAUGGGUCAUGCUGAUGCCUCAACUGCUGGGGAGGAACGGUCUCGUUGGUCUACAACCUCGGGUCCUCGGUCUGCGGUGGCAGCUGCUGCUGAGGAUGAUGUGAUCUCCACGGAUGAUGAUGUACAUCCGGCGACUGCUGCUGGUCCUCAUCAAAUCCUCCUAGGAUCCGUCCUCCGGGCGUAGAGAAAGCUAGACAUAGAGUCAAACACGAUCGGUAGAAUACCGUUGAACAUAUUGAAUACAGACAUGAGUCUAUAACAACGAAGGCGACUGAGCAAAUACAAGCUCGUGAACAUAAGCUCGGGAGCUCCGGGGACCGAACAUUAUACUACGAAGAUAC
rnacentral:rRNA from 1 species